rnacentral:lncRNA from 1 species
AUGGAAUUGAAAACAAGCUCUGCUUCAAGCCUGCUCUCUCUGGGCCGCAGCCCCCACUGGAGCUCCCACCUCUCCUGGCAGGAAGGCCUGUGCACUCGGAUCUGGCUUGCUGAUUCUGAACUGUUCAACAGACACCAACUCGGUAACAAGAAACCGUCUGAACAAUGUGCAAAAUUGAGGUUCUCGGAAACAUGCCUGGGACCUGUCGCUCCACAACCCGUCUGCUCGGCUGUUCCUUCUGCUAGGUGUGUCCCCAUCCUGUGCCCCCCGGCAGACUCCUGCCCCUUCUUCAGGGACCAGCUCCGGCGCAGUCUCCCCAGCUUUACCCGGCAGCCCUCCUCCCCGGAGCAGGAGUGGUUCUCCCUGUGUUCCAUCCUCCCCUGGAGCA